AACCUAAAUAUAACUAUGAUCUAGAUUAUACAUGUGUACCUGUGGGAUGAAAUUGUGCUUGGGUUAUACCCUUGAAGCAUUGGAAGUUGGCUAAGAUUAUAUAUAUUUCUGUCUCCAAAUGUUGUUGUUGGAUAAAAUUG